AAGGCUUUAAGUUAAAUAAACUAAUAGCCUUCAAAGCUAUAAAUAUAAGAAUAGCCCUUUUAAGCUUUA
rnacentral:tRNA from 1 species